UGCCAGGUCUCCUUUUAGGUGCUGCAGGAGUGACUCUUACUAAUGAAGGUGUUCCCCACGGCUGACACCCGUUAGCCGGCCGCACGUGACGUUUCUCUAUCGAUUGCAGUCAGAAGAUUAAUGGUGGCUUCGGCGGCCGAGAAACUGUUGUGACUUUGAAACGGCGCGGAUAUAAAUAAGUCAUGCGGGGUGACGGGGACUUUGGAGCAGCUCUUUUUCCAGAUGCAUAAUGGACUGGCGUUUUUGGAAACGAUCCUCACUGUCCUCGAAAAGCCAGGCUUCAGAAGGAUCACACAACGCAGAACUUCCAACCAGGGAAAUAUGAUCACUAACGCUGUAAUGAAACUAACCGUAAUCAAGAAGAAGAACAACAACAAAAACAUGUACAAACAAACAAAAUCCCGGAAUUUAUGAUUGAUUAUGAUUAUUAAAAACGCCCAUUUGUUGUUGUAGCUGAUUUUAUUCUUAACCACUUCACAUCGGAAAGGAUGUUUGUGUUUUUUCGCGGUAUGUAACAGGUCUCUGUUUAUACGAAUGUUCAAGAUGUAUCAGUGUUCAGUGUUAAAUAUGGGGUCUUCCGAAUACCACUUCGCGUGCAUUCAUUUAAAUAUUUGUUAACAAUAGUAAUUGGAACGUUCAUGCAUGCCUAAUGGGUUGAAUGGCCCUGUUCAAUUGUAACACAAGUCACGAGACGAGAAAAAUGUUUGAAAUACAUUAAGGUAUAGGCUACAUCUGUCAUCUCAUAUAUUAGAAACAUUAUGUAAGGUCUUGAAAACAAAGCCAUUUGAAUUAUGUAAGAAAUAUUUCUUAAAUUUCAGUUCCGUAUUCAUAAAACUCCUGGGCAUCAGGGUUGGCCAGAACUUGCUUUGAAAACAUCUGGUUUAGACAUUAGAAACACAUCGGCGCUUUUGCCCUGUGCCAGAAGAUUUCACAACAUGAGCACAGCGAACCAGUUCACCCCGACCAUAAAUCAGUUUGGUUACGCGGCUGCACCAUGCACCUGGAGGUUUGGUCAGCAGUCUUCCAUGCUGGAAAUGAGUAUGCAUAAUGACAUAUACUGUAGCGGAUUGAGCUACCUCUCGCUAUCUCCCUAAGGAGUUUGCGCCCGAUGUGGAUAAGAUCAUUGCUUUUUGUGUGCCUGACCCAUUUUCGAAAUAAAUGCUUUGAACUUAAGUCAUACAUAUAUACACAUGGUAUAUAGAAAGCAUUCACAAUAUCGACAUACAGACAUAAGGAGUGCAUCAGCAGUGUGCCAUGUGGCUCAGCCUCAGCUGUGCCUGUAAUUGCAAAGCCGCUAGUUCACAUCCCGCGGUCAGUAGUCAUUUCAUUGGUGAGUCCUUCAGCAAGACCUUUGACCCCCAAUUGCUCCGGGGACUAUCAGACCCCGCUGUCUCAAGUGCAUGUUUCUUUGGGUAAAAGCGUCUGCUAAAUGAGUAAAUGCAUACCUCUGCAGAAAAAGUGCUGAAAAAGACUUAUAUCAGGGUUCAAAAGAUGGAUUCUUCUGUACUGGGCUGAGUUUGAGUGCUUUCAGACUGUGUGGCCACAAGCACAUCAGGAAACUUGAAGAUGGACAGCUGGUAUCGGGGUGGUCGAGAGACCGAAACAAGGGGGGUUGGGAUAUUGCUGUCAUAGCCCUUAAUGGGGCUCUUUACAUAAAUUCUUCUGGCAAAAUAUGCAUAAUAUGCAGCCGCAUAAUAUGGAGAAAAUGUAAAACGGCAAGAUAUUUCAUUUGCAUUGUAUGAAGUAUGUAAACAGUUAAAACACGGCCAAGCCUAUAGGCUAUGUAAAUGUGCAGUUCUGCAUAGUGUUUUUCUGAUGCAACGCUUUGCAAUAAGUUUAAUAAGAAAGGAUUCUAUAAAAAAAAAAAGCCAGCAGUGAUGU